CUCCAACACCGUUCCUUUCCUAGUCUUCACAGUCUCCAAAAGAGGAAUGCCAUCCACCUAGUUCCCUUACCAAAAUCAUAGAAGCAUCCUGAAUCCUUUAUAUCUCUUACCCCUUGGAUCCAAGUCCAUCAGCAAUUCCUGCCAGCUUCACCUUCAAGCUACCUCCCUGAUGAAGUAAACUCUCAGCUCCAUUCCUAACAUCCUACUCUGAAUUACCAUAAUCUCCUGUUAUUUUCUCUGAUUAUGGUUUCUAUAGCAGAUUGCCAAAAUAUUGUUCUACACUGUUUACACUGUGAUUGAAUGUGAUUCAUCUAAGAGGAGAAAGAAGGACAGGCUUGGGCAUCAGAACACCAGCAGGCAACUUGGUAUAAGAUGUGAAAAGAAUGCAGGAUUUGGAGUGCUUGGCUCUGGUUUGUAUUGGUUCAUAGCUUCCGUAGAGAAAGUUACUUGUUAGACCUCAGUCUUUCUGUUGUUACAAUUAGGAAAAUGAGAAUCAUCACUUCUUUAAUUCUUAAAAGUUUUUGUAAGGACAUAAGACUAUAAUCUGUGGUACACACUGUAUGUGUAUUUGGUUUCUUAUUUUUACUUGUCAGAGUGACACAAAAUGAGAAUAUUUUGUAUGGCUCUUUUUGUUCCUCAAAUUACAUCCAAGUAAAUAUGGAAUUGGUUUUAUGAAGGCUGCCACUCUUCUCCCAAAACUCUGGUUAUUCAUACCUUGCUCUGUGAUUUCCAGAGCUGUCUUUUCUUUUCCUUUUUUUUCUUUUUUUUUUUUUUUUUGAGACGGAGUCUCGCUCUGUCGCUCAGGCUGGAGUGCAGUGAUGCGAUCUCGGCUCACUGCAAGCUCCGCCUCCGGGAUUCACGCCAUUCUCCUGCCUCAGCCUCCCGAGUGGCUGGGACUACAGGCGCCUUCCAUUGCGCCUGGCUAAUUUUUUUGUAUUUUUAGUAGAGACGAGGUUUCACCGUAUUAGCCAGGAUGGUCUCGAUCUCCUGACCUCGUGAUCCCCCCGCCUCAGCCUCCCAAAGUGCUGGGAUUACAGGCGUGAGCCACCGCGCCCGGCCCCAGAGCUAUCUUUUAUUUUUCCACUUCUGCUAACUUUACUCUCCUCAUUCUCUUCUUUGGUCUCUAUUUCUGUUUGAUGUAGCCAUACAGUAGCGUCACCACACGCAAGUCUGGCUGCUCCACUCAGAGGCUGAAAACACGAGAAGCGGGGUGUGAUGAACAGAGAGCUACUUUAUUCAAAUGCCAAGAUCUGGGAAUGGCCAAGCUCAUGCCCUUAAAAGACGAUUUCAAACUUUCGACUGUGGAGAGGUGUUUAUAAAGGGGAACUUAGAGUGGGAGGCAUGCAGGAGUGGUGCUGGGUGCUAGGUGUCCGUGCCUUGGUCUGGUGGCUAUCUUGAGUCAUGGUCCACCUGGAACGCAGUCUAAUGUUAUCUUGACGAUGGCUGGGUUGUAGACUAACAACCUGGAGGUCAUUUCUGGAAUUUUGCAGCUUGGUCUCCAUGCCUGGUUCAUCUCAAUAUUAGUCCCUGGAAUUU
rnacentral:lncRNA from 1 species